rnacentral:rRNA from 1 species
CCUUGACAUGCAGAGAACUUUCCAGAGAUGGAUUGGUGCCUUCGGGAACUCUGACACAGGUGCUGCAUGGCUGUCGUCAGCUCGUGUCGUGAGAUGUUGGGUUAAGUCCCGCAACGAGCGCAACCCUUGCCUUUAGUUGCCAGCAGUUCGGCUGGGCACUCUAAAGGGACUGCCGGUGUUAAACCGGAGGAAGGUGGGGAUGACGUCAAGUCCUCAUGGCCUUUAUGACCAGGGCUACACACGUACUACAAUGGCCGAUACAAAGGGCAGCGACACUGCGAGGUGAAGCCAAUCCCGUAAAAUCGGUCUCAGUCCGGAUUGGAGUCUGCAACUCGACUCCAUGAAGUUGGAAUCGCUAGUAAUCGUGGAUCAGCAUGCCACGGUGAAUACGUUCCCGGGCCUU